rnacentral:rRNA from 1 species
GUGCAGCAGGCGCGAAUUUUUCACAAUGGGGGAAACCUUGAUGGAGCGACGCCGCGUGGAGGAUGAAGGCCUUUUGGUCGUAAACUCCUGUCAAACGGGAACAAGAAAGUGAUAGUACCGUUAGAGGAAGAGGCGGCUAACUCUGUGCCAGCAGCCGCGGUAAUACAGAGGCCUCAAGCGUUGUUCGGAUUCAUUGGGCGUAAAGGGUGCGUAGGUGGCUUGUUAAGUUGAAGGUGAAAUCUCGGGGCUCAACUCCGAAACUGCCUUCAAUACUGGCGAGCUCGAGGAUUGUAGAGGAGAAUGGAAUUCACGGUGUAGCAGUGAAGUGCGUAGAUAUCGUGAGGAAGACCAGUGGCGAAGGCGAUUCUCUGGGCAAUUCCUGACACUGAGGCACGAAGGCCAGGGGAGCAAACGGGAUUAGAUACCCCGGUAGU